AUCAGGAUUUAGUAAGGAGAGAUUUUAUUUAAAAGGAUUAUUACAAGGGAGGGAAAAGGACUAUUGAAAUAGGGAGAGGAGGAUGACUGCAAUAGGGAGAAUGCUGUGACUAUAAGGUCUGCAAGAUUCUCAAAGCCAAACAGAAAAAGGUUUUUCUUUUAUAGAGGAAGGAGGAAGCAAGCAGGGAUAAAUAAUCUUUGGAAAGGAAGCUGGACAAGCAAGGGGCAUGCCCUGGGUCUUUGUGUUCGGGUUUAAGGACAAGCAGAGGGUAAGCAAUGGGCAACUGUGAACCCUUGAUCGGGGCAGAUGACACUCUCCAAGGCUUAUAGCUAGCCAGGUGCACCAAAGGGACAAACAAAUCACAGUCUUCUCCCUUUCUGAUCUUUUCUCCUGGCUUUCCCCCACUAAAUGGGCAGACUGGCUGCAAACUGGCUGAAAUCUUAGUUUGUGGCCUAUAAGACCAAGAAUCUUAUACAACUCUUAUAGGUUGCUUUAUCACUGACACCAAAAUCAGUUAUUAUGAAAUAACAUACAACUAAGAUUAUAAAGCCACCUGGGUCCAGGGCAUGGAUUUUUAUUUUUAUGUAUUUAGUUAUUCAUUGAGACAUGGUCUCUCUGUCACCCAGGCUGGAGUGCAGUGGCACAAUCAUAGCUCACUGCACCUACGUCACCCAAGCUGGUCUCAAAUUCCUGGCCUCAAGCAAUCCUCUCAACGUGCUGGGAUUACAGGUAUGAGCCACCGUGCCCGGCCCAGGAUGGUUUUUUUCAUAUAUAAAUGAGCCAAACAUGACCUCUAUGUGUUGGGAAAAGGGCGGGGGGUGCCUGUAUAAACAGAUACACAAUGCCAAUUUAUGCAGGCACCCCACAAGCCCUUUUCCCAAUGUCAAUGUAUUAACCCCUAGGUUAUUUCUUCCCUGCAGGCUGAGAUCCAUUAGUUCAAAUGCCCACCAGUGCCAAACUUAAAUAUUUGCACAUCCAAUUAUUUUUAUUUUUAUUUUUUAUUUGAGACAGAGUCUUGCUGUGUAGCCAGGCUGGAGCACAAUGGCUCGAUCUCGGCUCACUGCAACCUCCACCUCCCAGGUUCAAGCGAUUCUCCUGCUUCAGCCUCCUGAGUAGCUAGGACUACAGGUGCUCACCACCACGCCCAGCUAAUUUUUGUGUUUUUAGUAGAGAUGGGGUUUCAUCAGUUGGCCAGGAUGGUCUCGAUCUCUUGACCUCGUGAUCCGCCCUCCUGAGCCUCCCAAAGUGCUGGGAUUACGGGCGUAAACCACCGCGCCCAGCUCAGAUUAUUUUUUAAACUAGACCAAAGAGGCAGACUUUUUAGCAAUUUACAUCCUGCCUGUUUUGCAUACUCCACAAAAUCUCACCCCACAUCUGUUGACAAUAGAUAAGCCCUGGGCCAUAAAGACCCCAAGCCUCUGCUGCCCUUCUGAGCUCUCUGACCCAAUAACUCCACACUGCGGGCUGAGCAACAUCACCUAGACACGUAAGUCCCCUCUCUGACCCCCAUCUCCCCUAAGAAUUCCUUGCCUUCCUUCCCUUCUGAGUAACCUCUAUACAGACUCCUGCUGUGAGGGACUUCUGCCACAUACAAGCUGUCGAUGCACCACCCACUAAAGUUGUGUAUGCUACUGCCACCUCAUGAUAAUAUCAUUCCUCCAUCAGCCCCCAAAUCCCUCAAACCUCCUACAUCUCUGGCAAAAUUGGAGUUGACAGUGAAUACAGCUGUAUUACCUAGUGGUAAAAUAUUAAUAGCUCAGUAGUUCUGUACCUAUGUAACCCUACCCCCAUAUGAAUGGGAAUGGACUGAGGGGGAAGCACUUGCUAGAUUGGCAUUACUGACAGAAAUCUGAGUCAGUACAGUGACUGAACCUAACAUCCUUUCCAAAGGCCAAAAUGUUUGGAUAGAAAUAAUUGACAAAUGGAGAGAAGAAGAAAUAUGGUAGUUCAGGGGAAAUGAAUAAAUAAAUGGUUUAUGCAAUAGGGGAAAUCCAGUAUUACAUUGGUGCCUCGAGAGAGGCUCAGAUCAAGAGAAUUAUAUUGCCUUCUAGCACGAUUAUGCCAGAUCCCUGAAAGGUGAGGCCAUAUGUCUGCUGAAACUACUUCUCUUUUUGGAACCUGACAAGGUUGAAUGGAAGCCUGCAAACCUGAGUAACAUCAUUCUGGGAGACAUUUUGGGUACAUCAUAUGAUGAUGAACUGGACCAAUUGUUGAUGACUGAGUGAAACUCUACAUGACAGUAUCUUUAGACUCUUGUCAAAAGUAUAUUAUUUGGGGCCAGGCACAGUGGCUCAUGCCUGUAAUCCCAGAACUUUGGGAGGCUGAGGGGGGCGGAUCACCUGAAGUCAGGAGUUCAAGACCAGCCUGGCUAACAUGGAGAAACCCUGUCUCUACUAAAAAUACAAAAAUUAGCCUGGCAUCUGGCAGGUGCCUGUAAUCCCAGCUACUCAGGAGGGCUGAGGCAGGAGAAUCACUUGGACCUGGGAGGUGGAGGUUACAGUGAGCCAAGAUCGCCACCACUGCACUCCAGCCUGGGUAACAGAGUGAGACUCUGUCUCAAAAAAAAAAGGAUAUCAUUUGGGAAGGAGUUUCUAGGAGCUACACCCUGCCAGGCCAUCGGACUGUGUGGUGUAAAAUUCCGAGCAGACUGAUUACUGUGUAACUAUAGACCUUAAUGAUAGAAUGCUUAGAAAGGUCCCUGGUUUUAAGAGGCAAAAUAUAGCAGUAGCAUGUCUGACAUGCUACAGUUAGCCAUGCACAAAUGUAUAUCACCUUUGUUUUGUGGACAGAAAGUUAUCAGGUUGAUGCAAAAGUAAUUGCAGUUUUACAUUACAUUAAAAGUCAUGGCAAAAACCGCAGUUACUUUCGCACCAACCUAAUAUUAACCAGAAUAGAAAAAACAAUGGGUUUCAGAUGGGAUUAAAGCAGUAGACAUCAGGUGGUAGGCUCAAAUUCCCUAGGGAAAUGCCCCACCCUGAAAUGAGGAAGGCCAUGUGAGACUUUAUGUCAUGCCCAGACUAAAUUACAUCUAGAUGUGAUUACCACUCAUCUAACCCUGUUAUGGGGGUCCCAACAUUUUGGGAUACACAACAUGUGUCCUAGCUGCACUCAGGCCAGCAGUGCACAAUGGCAACAACAUGCAUAGUGGAUUAAACAACAUUGACCACAGAACAGAAAAGAGCUUUAAGGGAGAAAGAUGCUGGUCUAGGGAUUGUGGGACAAGUUCAAUUUGCUUUUAAGGAGAAGCAGCAUUCAGAGGAAAAGAUGUAUUAAUUAGAAUAAGUAGACUAGAGAGAUUCUCUUCCAGGAGAAAGACAAAGGAUGAGUGUCAGCCUGGGAUAACAAAGCUUUAGUGAAGUGGGGCAGGCAGACUCAACAAAUAAUGCUGGGUAAUGCUAGGAUCCAGUAUUGGGAAAGGGUUUGUACCCAGACCCAGCAAGGCCUCUUGACUAUUUUAAUACAGAUGGAGGCUGAAAUGGCCAUAAGGACUCCUGUGUCCUCCCCACAGAAGGGAGAUGGGCCCUAAUUUAUAACAGCACAUAAUGGAAAUCAGUCUCAGUCUCAGUACAAGCCUGUGGAUUGAGAUAGAUGGUGGGUUUUGUCCUCAAUUGUCUUAGAACCCAGAAAUAACCAAGAAUCAAGUUGUAGCUCAUCGUAAUAAUACUUGACAGGAAUAAUAUCUGGUAUAUGCACAAGUGCUGAUUCUGUUAGGAAGGCUUAGCAAAUACCUCUAUAAUUCUUACUGACUUGAAUCAUACUCUGACCAUACUGUGAUAGGGUGUAACACUGGCAUUGUUAGUAAGAUUAAAUUGCCUUAUAUAAAUAACUCAUGUGAUAAUACAGAUAUUAAUAAUCAAAUUUAUUGGAAGAUUGAGUUAAAGCUUAUUCAGGAUGUAAUACUGGUGGGGAAUCACUAGUCCGAGGAAGAACUAGAUUUAGCUAGCCAUCAGCUAAUGUUUAUCCUAAAUAGUUCUGUACAGAUUUAUCAUAAGGUACAAAUAGCAGUAGAUCGAGAGGGUAAAUGAAUAAUCAAAUUAGACCAUGCACAGUGGCUCAUGCCUGUAACCCCAGCACUUUGGGAGGCUGAGGCUGGUGGAUCAUCUGAGCCCAGGACGCAGAGGUUGCAGUGAGCCAAGAUUGUGCCAGUGCACUCCAGUCUGGGUAAUAGAGCAAGACUGUGUCUCAAAAUAAAUAAAUAAUCAAAUUAGUAUGAAAUGUAAUGGUUUUGUAAGAUGGAUUAGUUGUUUCUUUAAAUCUACCCCUACCCUACACUGGCUCUUCCAAAUGUUAGGAAUAUGCAAACUGAUACUAUCGCUGUGUCUGGUAUAUGCUGUGUUAAAUACUACACUAAAUGUAGAUGCUCAAACAAAUUUUAUCAUUUUGCUGUAAUAAAACCUAGGCCAAGGGCCAGAAGAGUGGACUAUGCAGUAAAGUGUUAACUCAGCAGGCCUAGGCUGCCCAAACCCUGCACAUUCCAAAUGUCUUUAGAAUUGACCCUGGACCAACUCCUAAAAAUAAUCUCUGAGCCCUUGGAAUAUCUUGCCUGAUAAGAGUGUCUUUGUAUACCUGAAACCUUGGGGCAAGACAAAUAGUUUAUGCUAACAAUGUGAUCUAUGUGAAUGCCUAUUUUUGUAUGCUUGGGAUUUUGGGUCACACUGUAUCAGUUUGACCUCUGGCGAGCUGGGGUCUAAAUGGCUAAGGUCAAGUCUUAUGCAUUCUGAGCCUACAGAACUGGCCCUCAAUAAAAAACCCUAGACGUCAAGGCUCAGGUGAGUUUCCCUGGUUGGCUAUACUUUAUAUGUGUUGUCACAUAUCAUUGCUGGGAAAAUUAAGUGCUAUUCACUUGACUCUACUCAGAAAGGAUAACCGGAAGCUUCUGCCUGGUUUCUCCUCAACUCUGCUCUAUGCACCUUUUUCCUUUGCUGGUUUAAUCUGUAUCUUUAGCUAUAAUAAACCAUAACCAUGAAUAGAACCAUUCUUCUGAGUUCUGUGAGUUCUUCUAGUGAAUUAUCAAGUCUGAGAGUGGUUUAGGGGACCCCCAACACAGUAUUCCCUACUAGGUUUUCCACGAAACAAACAAAAUAGAAAAAAGAAAACAAUUGAAAAACAUGCAUCAGAGAAAUUUAGAGAGAAUAAAGAGAUUAAUAAGUUCGAGACCAGCCCAGCCAACAAGUUCAAGACCAGCCUGGCCAACAUGGUGAAACCCCAUCUCUACUAAAAAAUGCAAAAAUUAGCCGAGCGUGGUAGAAGGCACCUAUAAACCCAGCUACUCAGGAGGCUGAGACAGGACAAUUGCUUGAACCUGGGAGGUGGAGGUUGCAGUGAGCUGAGAUUGCACCACUGCACUCCAGUCUGGGUGACAGAGUGAGACUCUGUCUCAAAAAAAAAAAAAAAAAGAGAGAGAGAGAGAUUAAUAGCUCAUAUGACCUUACUUCUGUAUAAACUGCACAUUUGUCUGUGAAAAGGGCAAACAUCAUCAGCUACAUGAUUUCAUUCUCCAUAAAGAGAAAAUAGGUCAACUUCUUAGGAAGUAAAAAUUUCCAGGCCAGGUGUGGUGGCUCAUGCCUGUAAUCCCAGCAUUUUGGGAGACCUAGGCAGGCGGAUCACCUGAGGUCAGGUGUUAGAGACUACCCCAUCUCUAUUAAAAAUACAAAAAAUUAGCCGGGUGUGGUGGCAUGCGCCUGUAAUCCCAGCUACUCAGGAGGCUGAGGUAGGAGAACCGCUUGAACCUGGGAGGUGGAGGUUGCAGUGAGCCAAGAUUGACUCACUGCACUCCAGCCUGGGCAACAGAGUGAGACUCCAUCUUAAAAAAAAAAAAAAAAAAAGCAAAAACAAACAAAAAAAAAAAACAACCCCCCCCCCCAAAAAAAAACAGGCACUUAGGCCUAAUAAAUGUUAUUGUUGAUUCUUUCUAAAGGUCAGUAGUGAUUUUCAGCUCAGGACUCUCUCAAUGAAACUGUUUUUAAAUUUUUCUGGUAGAUGCUUGCAGAGCAGAGAGUGGGAUUUCCUGGUUUUCUAUGGCUUCUUUGCUGUUGUCUCUGUAUGUGAGUUCAUACCCAACUCAAGGCAAAUUCCUUCUCCUAUACUCUUCCACUAGAAAAGUCUUUAUUAUUAUUUUCUCCCUACAAAUAUGAUCUACAUGUGGAGCAAAAUAUGUAAACAACAUAAAUACGUAAACACUAGGAAAGGAAAAGCCUCUAUAAAUGGACAAGGAAAAUCCUCCAUAAUCUAACUUCUGACUCCCAACUCAACCUAACCAUGAUUAUCUGGCUUGAAAUAAAGCCUAACAGGCUUUAUUUACUAUGCAUAUAAUCCUGUCUAUCUGUGUGUUGUUUUGUGUAAAAUGAGUGUGCUGUUCAUUAUAUUCUGUAUUUUCCUUGACAAAAAAAAUCUGCUAUAUACUGUGUCUUGCAAUUUGCUUCGUUCAUGGUAGAUUUCAGCAUAAUUUGAAAAAAAAAGUUUAUAAAGGAAAACCUACCAAUCUUCUCUCUUAUGAAAUCUAGAUUUUCUGUAAUGCUUUAAAAGGGCUUCCCCACAAAGAAUUUAUAAGCAAAAGAUUAUCUUGUUUCUCUUGUGUUUCUCUUAUUACUUUUACAGUUUCAAUAUGUUAGGUUUAAAUUUUUGUCAUGUGGAACUUUUUAUGUAAGGUUUCUUCUUUUACUAAGGAAAGAGACCACCACUUCCCCUGCUGCCUUCCUCUCCCCUUGUCUUGCCUAGUUUAUAAGACAAGAGGAAAGGGAGAAAACAAAAAGUUGGAAAGAAACAAAAGUAAGAUAAAUGGCCAGACGACCUUGGCACCACCAUCUGGCCUUGGUGGUUAAAAAUAAUAAUCAUCACGUUCUCCAUGGUUGCCUGAUCUUUCAUGACCCUUUCACGUGGACCCUUUAGAGUUGUAAGCCCUUAAAAAGGCCUUUUUUCUUUUUUGAGGAGCUCAGCUCUCAAGACGUAAGUCUGCCGAAGCUCCCAGCCGAAUAAAGCCCCCUUACUUCUUUAACCCGGUGUCUGAGGAGUUUUGUCUGUGGCUCGUCCUGCUACAUUACAACUUCUGUAGUUUCUGGAUUUUUAAAAUGUUUACCUUUUUGUUACAUCUGGAAUUUAUUUCAUGUAUGGUAUGAAAUAGGUAGAAGGCCCAGUGGGUAAGGCUCCAACUAUUUUUUUCUGAUGGCUACUCAGUAUUGAAUAAUCUUUCUUCCAGGUACAUGAAAUGUCACUGUAUUAGUCUGUUCUCACACUGCUAUGAAGAAAUACCCAAGAUUGGGUAGUUUAUAAAGGAAAGAGGUUCAAUUGACUCUGCAGCGCUGGGGAGGCCUCAGGAAACUUACAAUCAUGGCAGAAGGGAAAGCAAACACAUCCUUCUUUGCAUGGCAGCAGCAAGGAGGAGUGCAGCGUGGAGGGGAAAGCCCCUUAUAAAACCAUCAGAUCUCAUGAGAACUCACUAUCAUGAAAACAGCAUGGAGGUAACCGCCCCCAUGAUUCAAUUACCUCCUACCAGGUCCCUCCCACUACACAUGGGGAUUAUGUGAACUACACCUCAAGAUGAGAUUUGGGUGGGAACACAGCCAAACCAUAUCAGUCACUUAUGUUUGUAAAUUCUCACUUGUAUUUUGUUCUCUUUCUGGUCUCUAUUCUCUUUCAAUGACUACUCUGCUAAUGGCAUUUAUAAAGGAAAGAGGUUCAAUUGACUCUGCAGUGCUAAUGGCAGAGUAGUCAUUCCCUAACAGCCUCAGAAAAAAACUAGCCCUUCCAAAACCUUGAUUUUAGACUUCUGGCCUCCAGAACUGUGAGAUAAUACAUUUCUAUCUUUUAAACAACUCAGUCUAUGGUACUUUAUUAUGGCAGCCCUAGCAAACAAGCACACCUUCUUUUGUUACUUUAAAUGUGUACUUUUUUUUUUUUUUUGAGACAUAGUCUCACUCUGUCAUCCAGGCUGGAGUACAAUCAUGGCUCACUGCAGCCUUAACUUCUGAGGUUCAAGCAAUCCUCCUACCUCAGCCUCCUGAGUAGCUAGGACUACAGGUGCAUACCACCAGGCCUGGCUAAUUUUUUUAUUUUUCAUAGAGAUGGGGUCUCAUUAUGUUAUCCAGUCUGAUCUUGAACUCCUGGCCUCAAGUCAUCCUCUCACCUUGGCCUCCCAAAGUGCUGGGAUUACAGGUGUGAGCCACCAUACCCAGCCUAUACUAAACGGUCUAUGUCUAAUAACUUCUAUAUCUGAAGUUGUAUAGGUUUGACUGUCGUUUUUUAUGAAUCUUGCUAAUAGUGUUUUGUGUCUUGUUAUCUUGUGUGCACUAUGAGUUUUUACACUGUGGGUUCCUAUAUUUUGAAAUUUUAUCUGUGGGUUGAAAGGUGGCUUACACCAAAGUGGAUUUAUGUUUACUUCUCUCAGGCAUCUUGGGUCACUACAACCUGGGACCAUUUCAAGUAAAUCCUUGAGGUGUUUUGCUGAUACACUGGAGAUGUGACUUGAGGCUGCAAAGAAGCAUGAUGGCAGCUAAUCCUCUGGCUCAGGGCUUUUGUACUUGCUAUUCCCUCUGCCUGGCAUGACCUACUUCAAAUCCUCCUUCACUUCCUUUGGAUCUCUGCUCAAAUGGCACCCUAUUAUUGAGACCUUCCCUGCCCACCCCACAUCCACAGGUGAUUCCUUGUUCCCCUAUCUUGAUUUACUUUCAUUCAUCACCAGAGGAUGAAUACUUAUACACACAGACACACACAUGCACACAACAGAAACCUAUAACUAUCUAUGUAUCACCUUUUUAUUAUCCAUGUCCCCACAAAGCAGGAACUAUUUUUUCUGCUUUGUUCACUGUAGAAUACUCAAAAUAGGCUGGGCGUGGUGGCUCACGCCUGUAAUCCCAGCACUUUGGGAGGCAGAGGUGGGCGGAUCACAAGGUCAGGAGAUCGAGACCAUCCUGGCCAACAUGGUGAAACCCCGUCUCCACUAAAAUACAAAAAAAUUAGCCAGGCAUGGUGGCGUGCACCCGUAGUCCCAGCUACGCAGCAGGCUGAGGCAGGAAAAUCGCUUGAACCCGGGAGGCAGAGGUUGAGAUGAGCUGAGAUCAUGCCACUGCACUCCAGCCUGGAGACAGAGAGAUACUCCGUCUCAAAAAAAAAAAAAAAAAAAAAAAAACAAAAAAAACAACUCAAUGGGGUCUGCCAUGCAGUACAUGCUCAACAAAGGUUUGCUGAACAUGAAAAAACAAUGUCUGGCCGGGCACAGUGGCUCACGCCUGUAAUCCCAGCACUUUGGGAGGCCAAGGUGGGCGGAUCACGAGGUCAGGAGAUCGAGACCAUCCUGACUAACACGGUGAAAGCCCAUCUCUACUAAAAAUACAAAAAAAAAUUAGCCAGGCAUGGUGGCAGGCGCCUGUAGUCCCAGCUACUCAGGAGGCUGAGGCAAGAGAAUGGCAUGAACCCGGGAUGCAGAGCUUCCAGUGAGCUGAGAUCGCGCAGCUGCACUCCAGCCUGGGUGACAGAGCAAGACUCCGUCUCAAAACAAGCAGACAAACAAACAAAAAAACAAUGUCCAUCCACACUCUGGGAGAUUUUUAGGAAAUUCUUCACUGUUCCUGUGGCUUGCUGCAAGCACUGACUUCACAGGAAAUCAGACCGCAGAAGCUCGGCCACAGCAACCUCAACAAAACAGACACUCCACUGUCUGAGUCUGCUCAGGCUGCUAUAACAAAGAUACCAUAAACUGAGUAACUUAUAAACAACAGAAAUUUCUUUAUUACGACUCUAGAGGCUGACAAAUCCAAUAUCAAGGUGCCAGCAGAUUUGGUGUCUGGCGAGGGCCCAUUUAUCAUUGAUGGCAUCUCCUUGAUGUAUCCUCACAUGGUGGAAGGGGCAAACAAGCUCCGUCAGGCCUCUAUUAUUAGGUCACUAAUCCCAUUCAUGAGGGCAGAACCCUUGAGAUCAAAUCACCUCCCAAAGGCCCCACCUUCUAAUAUCAUCACUUUGGUAAUUAGGUUUCAAAAUAUGAAUUUUGGGAGUACACAAACGCAUCCACUAUUGCUACCCCUUCACUUUGAGAGUAUCUGCCAAACCAAGAUUACUGAAGCUGCAAUUCUCAAGAACAUGGCCUGCUCAAGAUUACCUUUUCAGGGAGAAAAAAAAAAAACGACUAAAAUUGGAAGAGCAGAGAAGGAACUGCCUUGAGUUGGGUUGAGACCCCACAAACUCUGAGAUGACAGCAAAGGAGCCAUGGAAAACAAGGAAACUAUCCCACUCUCCAAGCCCCUGCCAGAGAACUUUAACUAAAAACAGUCUCUUUAGAACAACUACUGACAAUACCACCCUGGACUGAAAACCACUGACCUUCAGGAAAACUCAGUAAUAAAAUUCCUCAAGUUAAAGUCCCAGAAAUCUUGACUUGCUAAGGAGCUGGACUGAUUUCUUUUUGUGGAGAAUGCAAAUCACAUUAUUGAUCAUGUUAUGUUACCCUUUUCACUGAAGCUGCCAGUCAAAAUGUUUUGCUUAUAGUCAAAAUUUUAGCUAAGUUUCUAUGAAGUAAGGCCAGGUGAUCUGUGUAUCUUCACAGCAAUUUUGCCUGUUGAUCAUCUAUUCUCUCUAAAUUUCUCUAAUCCUUAUUUUCAACUAAUUGCCCUUUCUCAUUUUGUUGUGGGAAAACCAAGUGGCAAACAAAUAACUUACCUGGGACUCAAUCAUUUUCUGUUUCUCUUUGGAAAGCAGUUGGGGGCGGGGUGGGGUGCAGAAGAGUCUUCGGAGAUCAAGCUGAGUUAACCACUCUUCAACAGCUGGAUGUGACAAUGUGUUGCUUGUUAAUUCAUUGAUGACUUGUGUUUCUCAUCUGACUCGGUAAUUCCAUUUCCGGAACUUCGUCCUAAGGUAAUAAUCAUGGAUAUGUGCAGAUAUUUAACCACAGAAACCUUCAACACAGUUUUGUCUUUAACACCAUAUUAUUGAAAAUAACACAAAUGCCCAGCACUAAAGACUGCUGCAAAGGCAGGCAGCCCUUAAAAGCAACACUCCAGAUGAUUCAAAAAGGUUCAGGAAACACCACCAGCAAAUGUAAAGUAUGGUCUUGUCUGGCUCUUUACUUGAAUAAACAAAAGAAAUUUUUGAGAUAAUCAUGAAAGUUUGAACCCUGACUAGAUAUUUGAUAACAUUAAGGAAUUUAACCAUUGAUUAUCUGAAGAUAUUAUUGCUAAUUAUUUUACCUUAGGGUAACAGCAUCAACCUUUAAGGCCUUAUCUUUUUCAUAAUGAAGCAUGUAUGGAUGAAAAUAUGUGUCUGGGAUUUGUUUCAAAAUAAUAAAGACUACCCAUGUAAAAAGUCAUUGAACUGCAUACAGGCCGGGUGCGGUGGGCCAGCACGUUGGAAGGCCAAGGCGGGUGGAUUGCCUGAGCUCAGGAAUUGGAGACCAGCCUGAGCAACAUGGCGAACCCCAUCUCUACUAAAAAAAUGCAAAAAGCAGCCAGGCGUGGUGGUGCAUGCUUGUAAUCCCAGCAUGUUGGGAGGCGGAGGUGGGCAAAUUGCUUGAGCCCAGGAGUUGAAGACCAGCCUGGGCAACAUAGGGAGACCCAUCUCUACAAAAAAUUAGCCUGGCGUGGCGGUGCACAGCUGUAAGCCCAGCACUUUGGGAGGCUGAGGCAGGCAGAUGGCUUGAGCCCAGGAGUUCGAGACCAACCUGGUCAACAUGGCAAAAUUCGCCUCUACUAAAAAUACAAAAAUUAGCCAGGCGUAGUGGUGGGCGCCUGUAUUCCCAGCUACUAGGGAGACUGAGACAUGAGAAUCACUUGAACCCAAGGAGGUGGCAUUUGCAGUGAGCCGAGAUUGAGCCACUGCACUUCAGCCUGGGCAACGAGCGAGUGAGGAAAGAGGAAAGAAAGGCAAGAAAGGCAGGAAGGAAGGCAGGAGGGAAGGCAGGAAGGAAGGCAGGACAGAAGGCAGGAAGGAAGGCAGGAAGGAAGGGAGGGAGGGAGGAAGAAGGAAGGAAGGAAGGAAGGAAGGAAGGAAGGAAAGAAAAGAAAAGAAAAGAAAAAAGAAAAGAAAAGAAAAGAAAAGAGGGAGGGAGGGAGAGAGGAAGGAAGGAAGGAAGGAAGGAAGGAAGGAAGGAAGAAAGGGAGGAAGGGCAUUCCGGGAGGAAGAAGUGAGGGGGUGGCCUAGAUGAGGACUUGGCAAACUUUUUCUGUAAAAGGGUCAUAUGGUAAAUGUUUUCAAUUUUGUGGGUUCUGUGGUCUCUGCUGUAACUACUCAGCCCUGCCAUUGCAGGUUGAAAGUAGCCCUAGACAAUACAUAAACUAAAGGUGUUCACUGGCUGUGUUCCAAUUAAACAUCAUUUUUGGGCACUGACAUUUGAAUUUUAUAUCAUUUUCAUGGGUCACAAAAUAUUCUCCAUUUGAUUUUUUUCCAAUGAUAAAAAGUGUGAAAAAACCAUUUCUUAGCUCAUGGCUGUAUUUUUUUUUUAAAAAGCAACAUGUCAUAUUUGGCCCACUGCCCAGUUUUCCAGCCCCUGGUCUAGAUAAAACAAGAUGGGCCAUGAGUUGAUGACUGAUGAGACUGGGUGGUGGGCAUAAUGGGGUUCCAUUAUACAAUUCCCUCUAUUUUUGUGGAUGCUUGAAAAUUUCCAUAAGAAAGGUUUAUAGUUAAGUAUUACCAUAGAAAUAAACCAAGUCGUACUACGGGAAUUAAGUUAAUGGCAUGGAAACAUCACUGUAAAAUGAAGAAGAGGCAGAACACAAGAAUGUAUUCCUAAUUGUUUAAUAACAGAAUAACAGGCCAGGGGUGGUGGCUCACACCUGUCAUCCCAGUACUUUGGGAGGCCAAGGCAAGAGGAUUGCUUGAGUCCAGGAGUUCGAGGCCAGCCUGAGCAACAUAGUGAGACCUCGUUUCUACAAAAAAUAAACAAAAUUAGCCGGGCGUGGUGGUGCACACCUGUAGUCCUGGCUACUUGGCAGGCUGAGGCAGGAGAGUCACUUGAAUCCGGGAGGCGGAGGUUGCAAUGUGCUGAGAUCACGCCAUUGCACUCCAGCCUGGGCAACAGAAUGAGACCCUGUCAAAGAAAAAAAAAAAGGAAAAGAAAAGAAAACAAAAAAAAAAUACCAUGUAGAUCACACAUUCUCACUGGGGGGUGAUACUGCCCCCAAGGGGACAAAAAUUAGUUCUUGGAGGCAAAACAAAACAAAACAAAACAAAAACAAAAAAAAGCUUCUUAGAUAUUACAAUGGGUUGUGACCCUCCAAAGCAACCAUAGCUGACAAAACCUUAUUCCUUGGUAUUUAAUUUCCUUCACCAGAUUUUGGUAUUACAUGAGCAGCAGUAACCUUGAGUUCAAGGAAGAUCCAUGAAAUAUAUACAAAAUUAGUGCUGCAAAACUAUGGCGAAUAGGUAACAUUCAGGUAUUAACUCACUUCUCAUCCCAAGCCUCACAGGGUAGGCCCUGCUAUUAUCCUCAUUUCGCAGUGGGAAACUGAUGCCUAGAGAGGUUUCAUGAGUUGUCUAAGAUCACACUGCCAGUGAUUUAGAGCGAGGUGGUAGAGGAACAAAAAGUAAAGAACUCCUCCCAAGCUGUCCUAGCACUAAGAUUUUCAGGCAACACCCCUUGCUUCUGGAUGCCCUAAAAAAUUAGUUAUCCUCCUAAAUUCCACAGGACAUUGUCUGUUUUUUUUUUUUUUGUUUUUUGUUUUUUGUUUUUGAGAUGGAGUCUCGCUCUGUCGCCCAGGCUGGAGUGCAGUGGCGCGAUCUCGGCUCACUGCAAGCUCCGCCUCCCUGGUUCACUCCAUUCUCCUGCCUCAGCCUCCCCAGUAGCUGGGACUACAGGAGCCCGCCACCACGC
rnacentral:lncRNA from 1 species